rnacentral:rRNA from 1 species
UACGAAGGGGGCUAGCGUUGCUCGGAAUGACUGGGCGUAAAGGGUGCGUAGGCGGGUAGGUAAGUCAGUGGUGAAAUCUUCGGGCUUAACUCGGAAAUUGCCGUUGAUACUAUCUAUCUUGAAUAUCGUUGAGGUUUGCGGAAUAUGUCAUGUAGCGGUGAAAUGCUUAGAGAUGACAUAGAACACCUAUUGCGAAGGCAGCAGGCUAAACGAACAUUGACGCUGAGGCACGAAAGCGUGGGGAUCAAACAGG